rnacentral:rRNA from 1 species
UGGGGAAUAUUGGACAAUGGGGGCAACCCUGAUCCAGCGAUGCCGCGUGAGUGACGAAGGCCUUAGGGUUGUAAAGCUCUUUUGGCGGGGACGAUAAUGACGGUACCCGCAGAAUAAGCUCCGGCUAACUUCGUGCCAGCAGCCGCGGUAAUACGAAGGGAGCUAGCGUUGUUCGGAAUCACUGGGCGUAAAGCGCACGUAGGCGGAUUAUUAAGUCAGGGGUGAAAUCCCGGGGCUCAACCUCGGAACUGCCUCUGAUACUGAUAGUCUCGAGUCCGGAAGAGGUGGGUGGAAUUCCUAGUGUAGAGGUGAAAUUCGUAGAUAUUAGGAAGAACACCGGUGGCGAAGGCGGCCCACUGGUCCGGUACUGACGCUGAGGUGCGAAAGCGUGGGGAGCAAACAGGAUUAGAUACCCCCGUAGUCCCUGAGCGGGCUGGCAAGGCGCAU